AUUGAACGCUGGCGGCAUGCCUUACACAUGCAAGUCGAACGGUAACGCGGGGGCAACCCUGGCGACGAGUGGCGAACGGGUGAGUAAUACAUCGGAACAUAUCCAGUAGCGGGGGAUAACCUAUCGAAAGAUGGACUAAUACCGCAUACGAUCUACGGAUGAAAGCAGGGGACCGCAAGGCCUUGCACUAUUGGAGUGGCCGAUGUCGGAUUAGCUAGUUGGUGGGGUAAAAGCUUACCAAGGCGACGAUCCGUAGCUGGUCUGAGAGGACGAUCAGCCACACUGGAACUGAGACACGGUCCAGACUCCUACGGGAGGCAGCAGUGGGGAAUUUUGGACAAUGGGCGCAAGCCUGAUCCAGCCAUGCCGCGUGAGUGAAGAAGGCCUUCGGGUUGUAAAGCUCUUUCGGUGAAGACGAAACGGUUAGCGCUAAUAACGCUGACUAAUGACGGUACUCACAGAAGAAGCACCGGCUAACUACGUGCCAGCAGCCGCGGUAAUACGUAGGGUGCAGGCGUUAAUCGGAAUUACUGGGCGUAAAGCAUGCGCAGGCGGUUUGCUAAGACAGGUGUGAAAUCCCCGAGCUUAACUUGGGGAAUUGCGCUUGUAACUGGCAGGCUAGAGUGUAGCAGAGGGGGGUGGAAUUCCACGUGUAGCAGUGAAAUGCGUAGAUAUGUGGAGGAACACCGAUGGCGAAGGCAGCCCCCUGGGUUAACACUGACGCUCAUGCACGAAAGCGUGGGAGCAAACAGGAUUAGAUACCCUGUAGU
rnacentral:rRNA from 1 species